UACGUAGGGUGCGAGCGUUGUCCGGAAUUAUUGGGCGUAAAGGGCUCGUAGGCGGUUUGUCGCGUCGGGAGUGAAAUCCACUGGCUUAACUGGUGGCUUGCUUUCGAUACGGGCAGACUGGAGGUAUGCAGGGGAGAACGAAUUCCUGGUGUAGCGGUGAAAUGCGCAGAUAUCAGGAGGAACACCGGUGGCGAAGGCGGUUCUCUGGGCAUGGUCCUGACGUGAGGAGCGAAAGUGUGGGGAGCGAAACAGG
rnacentral:rRNA from 1 species